rnacentral:rRNA from 1 species
GACGAACGCUGGCGGCGUGCUUAACACAUGCAAGUCGAGCGGUAAGGCCCUUUCGGGGGUACACGAGCGGCGAACGGGUGAGUAACACGUGGGUGACCUGCCCUCAGCUCUGGGAUAAGCCUGGGAAACCGGGUCUAAUACUGGAUAUGACUCCAUGACGCAUGUUGUGGGGUGGAAAGCCUUGUGCGGCUGAGGAUGGGCCCGCGGCCUAUCAGCUUGUUGGUGGGGUGANGGCCUACCAAGGCGACGACGGGUAGCCGGCCUGAGAGGGCGACCGGCCACACUGGGACUGAGACACGGCCCAGACUCCUACGGGAGGCAGCAGUGGGGAAUCUUGCGCAGUGGGCGAAAGCCUGACGCAGCGACGCCGCGUGAGGGAUGACGGCC